GUUCAUAUUGUAUUGUUGUGUGUAACCUGUGUUAUGUGAGAGCGUGUGAUUAAAAGAGUGUAAUGUAUCCAGCAUCAAGGAUUAGCGCCCCUUAAGUUCAGUGUUCUUUAGUGUAAUACUAAGUUUAAAGUGUAUCAUUAUAUAAGCUAACAAGUGGCAGCAAGAGCGUUCAUCUCCCUUUAAAGAAGAGCCUGACCAAUGGGGUCUUUGGAUGCACUUGUGAGAACUGCGGACACUUCUUUAAAUUCAAAGCUAUUCAUGACUUUAAAAGUACUGUGACUUUCACGAUUAACAACAUUUCCUAUACAGUUGGCAAUGAGUUCAGCCCAGCUACAUCUCUGAAUGAAUACAUGCGUAUGACUGGAGUGUC